GACGAACUGUCCAAACGUUGUUCGGAAUCACUGGGCUUAAAGGGCGCGUAGGCGGUCGGCCAAGUCAGGGGUGAAAUCCUGCAGCUUAACUGUGGGCGUGCGGUCGAUACGGGCAUCACUGGAGUUCGGCAGGGGAGACUGGAAUUCCCGGUGUAGCGGUGAAAUGCGCAGAUAUCGGGAGGAACACCGGUGGCGAAGGCAGCUCGCUGGGACGGUACUGACGCUGAGGCGCGAAAGCGUGGGGAGCAAACAGGG
rnacentral:rRNA from 1 species